rnacentral:rRNA from 2 species
ACGGGACUCUUCGGAGUUCAGUGGCGGACGGGUGAGUAACGCGUGAGAAUCUGCCUAGAGGAUGGGGACAACCACGGGAAACUGUGGCUAAUACCCAAUGAGCGGAGACGUUAAAGAUUUAUCGCCUCUAGAGGAGCUCGCGUCUGAUUAGCUAGUUGGUGGGGUAAAAGCCUACCAAGGCGACGAUCAGUAGCUGGUCUGAGAGGACAACCAGCCACACUGGGACUGAGACACGGCCCAGACUCCUACGGGAGGCAGCAGUGGGGAAUUUUCCGCAAUGGGCGAAAGCCUGACGGAGCAAUACCGCGUGAGGGAGGAAGGCUCUUGGGUCGUAAACCUCUUUUCUCAGGGAAGAAGAAAGUGACGGUACCUGAGGAAUCAGCCUCGGCUAACUCCGUGCCAGCAGCCGCGGUAAUACGGAGGAGGCAAGCGUUAUCCGGAAUUAUUGGGCGUAAAGCGUCCGUAGGUGGCUCUUCAAGUCUGCUGUCAAAGAGUGGGGCUUAACUCCAGAAAGGCAGUGGAAACUGAAAGGCUAGAGAGCCGUAGGGGUAGAGGGAAUUCCCGGUGUAGCGGUGAAAUGCGUAGAGAUCGGGAAGAACAUCGGUGGCGAAAGCGCUCUACUGGACGGUAUCUGACACUGAGGGACGAAAGCUAGGGGAGCGA